ACUCCUACGGGAGGCAGCAGUGGGGAAUUUUGGACAAUGGGCGAAAGCCUGAUCCAGCAAUGCCGCGUGUGUGAAGAAGGCCUUCGGGUUGUAAAGCACUUUUGUCCGGAAAGAAAUCCUUGGCUCUAAUACAGUCGGGGGAUGACGGUACCGGAAGAAUAAGCACCGGCUAACUACGUGCCAGCAGCCGCGGUAAUACGUAGGGUGCGAGCGUUAAUCGGAAUUACUGGGCGUAAAGCGUGCGCAGGCGGUUUGCUAAGACCGAUGUGAAAUCCCCGGGCUCAACCUGGGAACUGCAUUGGUGACUGGCAGGCUAGAGUAUGGCAGAGGGGGGUAGAAUUCCACGUGUAGCAGUGAAAUGCGUAGAGAUGUGGAGGAAUACCGAUGGCGAAGGCAGCCCCCUGGGCCAAUACUGACGCUCAUGCACGAAAGCGUGGGGAGCAAACAGGAUUAGAUACCCUGGUAGUCCACGCCCUAAACGAUGUCAACUAGUUGUUGGGGAUUCAUUUCCUUAGUAACG
rnacentral:rRNA from 1 species